AUGCCGGGCUGGCCGGGAGGAUAGGCGUCUCCUGUUACCCGAAACCGUCUAGAUGCGGGGGCGACAGCCGAUAAAGAUGGCAACAGUGGAUGUGCAUGCCUCCGAUGCACUAUGAAAUUCUGUCCCAUUGGAUUCGGGUUGUAUACGUCUUUCCCGGAGGGGAGAGGGGUAUAUAUUAUCACGGGAAUCCGUCAGGACCGGAAGGGAGCAACGGUUACGUGGACCCUGGAUGCUGAUGGGGGCACGGAGUAGAGAACAGAAGAGGGUAAGUGCAUUCUCUACUGCCCGUCGAUAUCGGUGGCCCGGUAU
rnacentral:SRP_RNA from 1 species